GGGACACUUUUUGGAGCUCAGCCGCCAGCUGCUUAGGGUCAACACCUGGUGACCUGGGAGCUCCACCAGGUAGGACUUUGGCAACAUAGGCUCCAAUGUCUCCAUUACAGCCAGGGACCUCUUUCCCUCCAACCACACGUAUGCCCAGACCAUUUCCUGUUCAGGACCAAAAACAAAGACUGGUCACACAGAAAAAGGCCUUCACCUACACAGAACCACAACUUCCCUCUACAGUAUGAAAGACUUCAACAUGGUUAUGGAAGCGAGAACAAAAUGACUCAGUUCAGCACAGGUCCUCACAAACAAAAUGCUUCCUUUGUGGGCUGUUUGUUAAUUGCGCGAGAUAAUCCUGAGGGUGAGGGAUACGCCAUUUUGAGCAUGGCAAUGACUGAUGAGCAUGGAGAAGAGCCAAAUCAAAAGGGAGGCCAGGAAAUGAAAUGUCUGCCUGUUUUGAGCCUGGAGGAAUGGUGUGAUGGAACGUAAUGGCAGGGGAAGUGACUUGCCAGUUUCUUGAAAUCUGGCAUGAAUAGGAAGUAAAUAAAAUGCAUGAAGCAUACUAGUUAUGCUCUGUUAACCUAAUGAGACGUUAUGAUCCACAUUAAUGUGUACAUUCUACUGUCUUUAUUCUUUUAAAAUAAUUUGUAUCUAUUCUUAUGAUCAUUCAAAUUUAAUUAAAGGAAAACAAUGUCUAUGCCAUAAACAGUGCAUAUUUGAUGCAGACAGUAGGCAACGGGGUCAAUCAAAUCACAUGCAUGCAUCAAAGUCAAUAACACAUAAGCUUAUAAUACAUGCCUCUGUGAAUGCAUAUCAUUCAUACCCUUAGCAUGC